GUUUUCCCGCAGAAAUAGUAAUACUACUCCCUCCGAUCCAAAAUAAGUGUCUGCAUUUCUAUUAUAGUGUAUAUUUUGAUACAGAGGGAGUACUAUAAAUCACUCACAAACUCAAAACGGAGCUCUUUCUUUUUUAGGUAAAACUCAAAACAGAGCUGGGGAAGUAAGAAAAGGCAGUUCUCUGUGUAAACAGCUGACUGGGCUGCGAAUCCGGCCCUGGAGCAACCAGCGCCACUCCGUCCGCCGUCGACGGCUACGGGUUGAAUUACCCUUUUACCACGAGCCUGCACCGCGCCGUCCCGUUGGUGGUUCGGUUCAACGCAGUACAAGAGUUUAGAGCAGAGCGACACGAGCGCGCAGAUGGGCGAGCGGAGUCUGGCCCUGAGCGGAGCGGAGAUUGCGGUCGCCGGCGAAGCCGAGAAGCUCCAGUCGCGGCGUCCUUAUCCGCAGCGCGGGUGGCCGCUGGCCGGCGGAGGUCCAGUAGUCCAGUAUCCCAAGUUGCUGCACUCGCUAGGUGUUCUGCUUCCAAGUGAGGUACUGCGAUCAAUUAUAUGAAUGUGCCAAUAUUGCCAGCCUUUUUUGCAGCAGCAGCAGAUUUGCAGCUUUUUUGGUGUGUUUGGUGGCAAUUAUCAGGGUCACUAACUCCUAUGGUGCUAGGAUGGGGCCAAAGGACAUAUUGCUAAGCUGCUAGUUCGUGGAAGCUUUUGAAAUAUCCAGUAAGUAGGUGGCUGCUGAUUUCCCUGUGGUCGUCCAUAUCUGGCUCUAUGCUGCAUCUCCUUAGCUAUAUUCUAGUUGGCUAGAGGUUUUCCUGUAUCCUUUGUAGAUGCAUCGCAAAAAGAGUUCCAUGUUAUUGAUUUCUGUGCUAUCAUGGAGGAAAUGUUUGUAGGUCUUCUUUGUAACUGUUUGCUGAAACCCUGUAACUGAUUAUUUAUUUUCCAACUUUUUAUACUGUGAAUCUUUUCAUGCA